rnacentral:rRNA from 1 species
UACGUAAGGGGCAAGCGUUACCCGGAUUCACUGGGCGUAAAGCGCGUGUAGGCGGCUGGCCAAGCGUGGUGUGAAAUCUCCGGGCUCAACCCGGAAACUGCACUGCGAACUGGCCUGGCUGGAGUGCAGGAGAGGGAUGCGGAAUUCACGGUGUAGCGGUGAAAUGCGUAGAUAUCGUGAGGAACACCAGUGGCGAAGGCGGCAUCCUGGCCUGUAACUGACGCUGAGACGCGAAAGCGUGGGGAGCGAACCGG